rnacentral:rRNA from 1 species
CCCAUCCAUCACGAAACUUACUGCAAUUCCCCCAAAGGCGAAAAGUUAAAAAUUUUUUUGGCUUAAGGAUGAACCCCCUCUGAUUAGCUUUUUGGGGGGGUAAGGGCCUACCAAGGCCACCAUCAGUAGCUGGUCUAAGAGGAUGAUUUGCCACACUGGGACUGAGACACGGCCCAGACUCCUACGGGAGGUUCACCGCCUGAAUUUUCCGCAAUGGGCGAAAGCCUGACGGAGCAACGCCCUCCGAGGUAUUAAGGCCUUAGGGUUGUAAACCUCUUUUCUCUGUUAAGAAGACCUGACGGUACCGGAGAAAUAAGCCUCGGAAAACUCCUUGCCACCAGCCGCCUUCCGACGGAAGACGCCGGUGUUAUCCGGAAUUAUUGCCCGUAAAGCGUCAGUAGCCAGUUAAUUAAGUCUGUUGACAAAGGUCACAGCUCAACUGUGGAUCGGCAAUGGAAACUGAUUAACUUGAGUGUGGAAGGUGUAGAGGGAAUUCCCGGUGUAGCGGUGAAAUGCAUAGAUAUCGGAAAGAACACCAGUGGGCAAAGGCCCUCUAACGGCCCACAACUGAUGCUGAGGGACGAAA